rnacentral:tRNA from 1 species
GCCGGGAUGCGAGGUGGAACUGUCGCUGCCGACCCUGUCGGCGCUGGGGGGCGGUGGGUCCGCCCCUGACCUCGUACGACUCGUGGACACGGUG